rnacentral:rRNA from 1 species
GGGCCUCUUGCCAUCAGAUGUGCCCAGAUGGGAUUAGCUWGUUGGUGAGGUAACGGCUCACCAAGGCGACGAUCCCUAGCUGGUCUGAGAGGAUGACCAGCCACACUGGAACUGAGACACGGUCCAGACUCCUACGGGAGGCAGCAGUGGGGAAUAUUGCACAAUGGGCGCAAGCCUGAUGCAGCCAUGCCGCGUGUAUGAAGAAGGCCUUCGGGUUGUAAAGUACUUUCAGCGGGGAGGAAGGUGUUGYGGUUAAUAACCRCAGCAAUUGACGUUACCCGCAGAAGAAGCACCGGCUAACUCCGUGCCAGCAGCCGCGGUAAUACGGAGGGUGCAAGCGUUAAUCGGAAUUACUGGGCGUAAAGCGCACGCAGGCGGUCUGUCAAGUCGGAUGUGAAAUCCCCGGGCUCAACCUGGGAACUGCAUUCGAAACUGGCAGGCUUGAGUCUUGUAGAGGGGGGUAGAAUUCCAGGUGUAGCGGUGAAAUGCGUAGAGAUCUGGAGGAAUACCGGUGGC